rnacentral:rRNA from 2 species
UACGGAGGGGGUUAGCGUUGUUCGGAAUGACUGGGCGUAAAGCGCGCGUAGGCGGAUCAUCAAGUCGGGGGUGAAAUCCCGGGGCUCAACCCCGGAAUGGCCUUCGAGACUGGUGGUCUUGAGUUCGAGAGAGGUGAGUGGAAUUCCGAGUGUAGAGGUGAAAUUCGUAGAUAUUCGGAGGAACACCAGUGGCGAAGGCGGCUCACUGGCUCGAUACUGACGCUGAGGUGCGAAAGCGUGGGGAGCAAACAGG